UUUAAGCUUAAUUUCAGCUCGGAAGUAACACAACAUGAAACCCUUAAUUCAGGGAUGGUAAAAUGGCCACCGUAGUGCUUACAAAAUGAACCGUCUUAAUCAUUAACAGGACAUAGCACCUAUUUCCAGUUAUUUUUCAUUUUAAUCACAUUUGUCAAGUGCAAGUAGUUAUUAAUGGAUCAUUCAACAUACACUCUCCCAAAUUCAGGCUUGAAUUGGUGCAGUGAACCUUCAAGCUUUCACUUGUUGGGCCAUUACAUUUUUUUGCAAUGGAGUAAAACACACAUGAUCAAACAAACAUAGGUUGAAUAUAUAAAUAUUUUUUUCAAAAUGCAUGGCCGACUGGAUCAAAUGCCAUCGGUUCCUCACUCCUGCUCCCGAAGCCGUUUUUUUUCCCCCCAACGUACGCAUCUUUAAAUUGUAAAAUUAGAGCAGACAUGAAAAGGGAUUUGCAAGGUGUCUGGAUUUAGUGUGCUCAUGUAAUGCAGCGGGCGGCCCGCACAAAGACAGAAUAGGAUUUAAAAAAAAAUAAAAGAA